UACAGAGGUGGCAAGCGUUGUUCGGAAUUACUGGGCGUAAAGGGCGCGUAGGCGGCCUUCUAAGUCAGACGUGAAAUCCCCCGGCUUAACCUGGGAACUGCGUCUGAUACUGGGAGGCUUGAGUACGGGAGAGGGAUGUAGAAUUCCAGGUGUAGCGGUGAAAUGCGUAGAUAUCUGGAGGAAUACCGGUGGCGAAGGCGGCAUCCUGGACCGACAUUGACGCUGAACGGCGAAAGCUAGGGGAGCAAACGGG
rnacentral:rRNA from 1 species